CAGGGAUUGCCCUAGUAACGGCGAGUGAAGCGGCAACAGCUCAAAUUUGAAAUCUGGCUCUCGGGCCCGAGUUGUAAUUUGUAGAGGAUACUUUUGAUGCGGUGCCUUCCGAGUUCCCUGGAACGGGACGCCAUAGAGGGUGAGAGCCCCGUCUGGUUGGAUGCCAAAUCUCUGUAAAGUUCCUUCAACGAGUCGAGUAGUUUGGGAAUGCUGCUCUAAAUGGGAGGUAUAUGUCUUCUAAAGCUAAAUACCGGCCAGAGACCGAUAGCGCACAAGUAGAGUGAUCGAAAGAUGAAAAGCACUUUGAAAAGAGAGUUAAAAAGUACGUGAAAUUGUUGAAAGGGAAGCGUUUAUGACCAGACUUGGGCUUGGUUAAUCAUCUGGGGUUCUCCCCAGUGCACUUUUCCAGUCCAGGCCAGCAUCAGUUUUCCCCGGGGGAUAAAGGCGGCGGGAAUGUGGCUCUCUUCGGGGAGUGUUAUAGCCCACCGUGUAAUACCCUGGGGGGGACUGAGGUUCGCGCAUCUGCAAGGAUGCUGGCGUAAUGGUCAUCAACGACCCGUCUUGAAACACGGACCCCUGUGUGAAAUUGUUAU
rnacentral:rRNA from 1 species